UAGGCCUAACACAUGCAAGUCGAGCGGGAACUUCGGUUCUAGCGGCGGACGGGUGAGUAAUGCGUAGGAAGCUACCCGACAGAGGGGGAUACCAGUUGGAAACGACUGUUAAUACCGCAUAAUGUCUACGGACCAAAGUGUGGGACCUUCGGGCCACAUGCUGUCGGAUGCGCCUACGUGGGAUUAGCUAGUUGGUGAGGUAAUGGCUCACCAAGGCGACGAUCCCUAGCUGGUUUGAGAGGAUGAUCAGCCACACUGGAACUGAGACACGGUCCAGACUCCUACGGGAGGCAGCAGUGGGGAAUAUUGGACAAUGGGCGAAAGCCUGAUCCAAACGUGCCGCGUGUGUGAAGAAGGCCUUCGGGUGUAAAUAACGGUCAGUAGGGAGGAAGAGUUGAGUGUUAAUA
rnacentral:rRNA from 1 species